AUACAUAUGUAUACAUAUACAUAUAUAUAGAACUGAAUCACUUUGCUGUACACCUGAAACUAAUAUUGUAAAUCAACUACACUUCAAUAAAAUCCUAAGUCCACAUUUGCUUCGGCACUGAGAAAAUUCAAAGCUGGGACACCCACUAUCUUGUACUUCAAAAGAACAAAAGAAGUCCGCGAUCAUUACCACACUCCGUCAGCAAGAGGAAUUAAGGCCCCACUUACCCAAACGGAAACUCCAGACAGACAACUGGCAGCACUGAACAGAACCCAGAGCAGUGGUCGUCAUGGUCCUGGGAUUUUAUUUUCACUUUCAAUGCGUACGUCAGCUUUUCCUGGAUUCUCUCUCUGGAAGCUCUGCUGUCAACAAAACAACAAAUAGAUCACAUUUAUUUAUAUAAGAGAAAUCAACAAGAUCAUCAAUUAUAACAAGACAGAAAAUCUUGACUGUGUCCAAAGACCAAGAUGAUGUAGAGGGAAGCCAGCCAACCUGAAGCUGCAUCCAGAACCUUUUACAAACACUCUGCUGCUGGUACCUAUUUGAUCUUCCAAUUUGAAGGUAGAAGUUUGCCAUCUUCAUUUCUUUGUCAUGUUAAGACGAAAUUAAGAAUAAUUUCUUCUGGUGUUAAAUACAUUUUUCUAAUAAUAAAAGUAAUAACACAUGUUCAUUAGACACAACUUACACCGUCCAGGAAAAGUUUAUUGAAAACAACAAAAGCCUACGUAAUCCAACUGAAAGAUGCUCACUUCCACCUUUGAGUCACUGUAGAGUUGGUUUUAUACUGGUCAUAUGGUACAUUCUGCUCUUUGCGCUUAGCUUUAUGUUGGGAGCGUGUCGCUACUUACACACAGAUUUCUUUUCAUGGCUUUAUAAUAUGCUAGUGAAUGGAUAUACUACUUAUUUAAUGAUUUUUUAUGUAUAGUUAGAUGGCACCUAUUAUUUUGCUAUUAUAAUGAAUGUUUUGCAUUAUACAUACAUAAAAGGACGCUCAUAAUAAUAAAGAUAAAAUUAAAAAUUUGAAGACACUUGAACAUGUUUCUGCAGGUUCCAAAUCGCAAAUUAUCCUUGUCUCCCACCCUUACGGUGCUUUUUAACAUGACCAACUUAUACUUGUUAAUGCAUCAACUUUUCUGUUACCUAUUUUCAAGUUUGUUUUAACAUGAUGCUUUAUUUCACACAGAUUCCUUCAUGGAACUGGGAAGUUUUUAAUGCCUUUUAAUGCAGUAUGUAUUAGUUAUCUUUACUGAAUAAUAAAUUAUUCCAAAACUUAGCCUAAGGCAACAAAUAUUUACAAUCUCACAUCAUUUCUGUGCAUCAGAUACCCAGGUGCAAGGUACCUAGGCAAUUCUAAUUCAGGGUCUCCUAUGAAAUUCUAGUUAAGCUAUCAACCUACAGUCAACCUACAGUCAUCUCAAGACCUGAGGGGCUUGAAAAUUCACUUCUGGGCUUACUCACAUGGUUACUGGUAGACCACAAUUUCCAAUUGGCUGUUGGCUAGCGGUCUCUGUUCCUCACCUUACUGGCCUCUCCAGAGAGAUGCUCAGUAAGGCAGGGUGAGAGAGCUAAAAGAGGCAGAGA